rnacentral:rRNA from 1 species
GACGAACGCUGGCGGCGUGCUUAACACAUGCAAGUCGAACGGAAAGGCCCUGCUUUUGUGGGGUUCUCGAGUGGCGAACGGGUGAGUAUCACGUGAGUAUCCUGCCCUUGACUUUGGGAUAACUUCAGGAAACUGGGGCUAAUACCGCAUAGGAUCUCCUGCUGCAUGGUGGUGGUUGGAAAGUUUCGGCUGUUGGGGCUGGACUCGCGGCUUAUCAGCUUGUUGGUGGAGUAGUUGCUUACCAAGGCUUUGACGGAUAGGCGGCCUGAGAGGGUUAACGGCCACCUUGGGACUGAGAGACGGCGCAGUCUCGUAUGGGAGGCAGCAGGGGGGAGUAUUGCACAAUGGGGGGGAGCCAGAUGCAGAAACGCCGCGUGCGGGAUGACGGCCUUCGGGUUGUAAACAGCUUUCGCCUGUGACGAAGCGUGAGUGACGGUAAUGGGUAAAGAAGCACCGGCUAACUACGUG